rnacentral:rRNA from 1 species
CCUACGGUGGGCUGCAGUGGGGAAUAUUGCACAAUGGGGGGAACCCUGAUGCAGCAAUGCCGCGUGAAGGAUGAAGGUUUUCGGAUUGUAAACUUCUUUUGUACGGGAAGAAGAAAGUGACGGUACCGUAAGAAUAAACCAUGGCUAACUACGGUGCAGCAGCCGCGGUAAUACGUAGGUGGCAAGCGUUAUCCGGAUUUACUGGGUGUAAAGUGCGAGUAGGCGGGGUUGCAAGUCAGAUGUGAAAACUAUGGGCUCAACCGAUAGAGUGCAUUUGAAACUGGGGUUCUUGAGUGAUGGAGAGGCAGGCGGAAUUCCAGGUGUAGCGGUGGAAUGCGUAGAUAUAGGGAGGAACACCAGUGGCGAAGGCGGCCUGCUGGACAUUAACUGACGCUGAGGCGCGAAAGCGUGGGGAGCAAACAGGAUUAGAUACCCUUGUAGUC